rnacentral:rRNA from 1 species
GACGAACGCUGGCGGCGUGCUUAACACAUGCAAGUCGAGCGGUAAGGCUCCUUCGGGAGUACACGAGCGGCGAACGGGUGAGUAACACGUGAGCAAUCUGCCCUUCACAUCGGAAUAACCUCGGGAAACCGAGGCUAAUACCGGAUACGACCAUCGAUGGCAUCAUCUGAUGGUGGAAAGUUCCGGCGGUGGAGGAUGAGCUCGCGGCCUAUCAGCUUGUUGGNGGGGUAAUGGCCUACCAAGGCGACGACGGGUAGCCGGCCUGAGAGGGUGACCGGCCACACUGGGACUGAGACACGGCCCAGACUCCUACGGGAGGCAGCAGUGGGGAUAUUGGACAAUGGGCGAAAGCCUGAUCCAGCAACGCCGCGUGAGGGAUGACGGCCU